rnacentral:rRNA from 1 species
AGCGAACGCUGGCGGCAGGCUUAACACAUGCAAGUCGAGCGGGCACUUUCGGGUGUCAGCGGCGGACGGGUGAGUAACGCGUGGGAACGUGCCCUCUGGUUCGGAAUAACUCAGGGAAACUUGAGCUAAUACCGGAUACGCCCUUUUGGGGAAAGGCUUGCUGCCGGAGGAUCGGCCCGCGUCUGAUUAGCUAGUUGGUGAGGUAACGGCUCACCAAGGCGACGAUCAGUAGCUGGUCUGAGAGGAUGAUCAGCCACACUGGGACUGAGACACGGCCCAGACUCCUACGGGAGGCAGCAGUGGGGAAUAUUGGACAAUGGGCGCAAGCCUGAUCCAGCCAUGCCGCGUGAGUGAUCAAGGCCUUAGGGUUGUAAAGCUCUUUUAUCCGGGGCGAUAAUGACGGUACCGGAGGAAUAAGCCCCGGCUAACUUCGUG